rnacentral:lncRNA from 1 species
ACAGUGCGCAGCUGAAUUGGGAUGAGGGGCCAGGACAAAGCAGAAAUCUGCUGCAGAGAGCAGGAAAGAUAAAGGAUAUUCUGCAGCAGGAUCUGGGCAAGUGGCACUCAUCCAUAUCCUUUGCAUUGCAAAGACAGGAGCUACCUCCUUCCUUUUUAUUUUCCAGUUUAUUGGUGGCUCCUAGAACCUCUGAGAACUAACUGAUUUUGACCUCUUAACAGUUGCCUUUCAACUACCAUUCAUUUACUGCAAGCCUACUGUGUAACAGGCCCUUGCUAACCACUUCAGAUAAUAUUGUCUCUUGUCCAGCUUCAAGUGACUCUCUUAGGGAGGGAUUAGCCUCACCUCACUAGUAUGGAAAUGGAGACUUGGAGUAAUCAAGUGACUUGCUCUGAAUUACACAGCUGGGAAGUGGUGAAGCUGGAAUUCAACUCAAGUUAUGUCUAGAUCUAAAACUCAUGCUCUUUUCUAUGCUCAAAGCUGCAUAUCAAAACUGAACUUUAGCAUGGAGUCUAUGAUGACUGGCUCAUGUCUCUCCACCCAGCACCUAGCCCAAGGCCAAGCACAGAGAAGGCUCACAGUGGACACUUUUAGAAUGAGUAGAUUUUGUAUGGAAUGGUCGAGCACACUGAACUACCUGGAGUAAAGGGGCAUCAUGUCUGAAACUGAUGCUUAAGUGGCUCAGAAAAAAAAUUCUGGGAGCUAGAGGGAGAGAGAGACAGAGGAGUGUGGUAAAAAGUUAACAUUUUGGGGAUCUGCGUAAAGGUAUCUGAGGAUUCUUUGUACGGAUUUUGCAAUUUUUCUCCAAAUGUGAAAUUAUGUCAAAAUAUAAAAUUAAAAGGCAAAAUUAAAAGAAUGAAUGAGAGUUUGCUAGGUAGAGAAGCAGGGGGAUCUUCUGGCAAAGGAACAGGAUAAGCAAAAGCAUCACAAGUGUGAGAGUCUUCUGUGUUGACAA